UACGUAGGGUGCAAGCGUUGUCCGGAAUUAUUGGGCGUAAAGAGCUCGUAGGCGGUUUGUCGCGUCUGCUGUGAAAACCCGAGGCUCAACCUCGGGCCUGCAGUGGGUACGGGCAGACUAGAGUGCGGUAGGGGAGAUUGGAAUUCCUGGUGUAGCGGUGGAAUGCGCAGAUAUCAGGAGGAACACCAAUGGCGAAGGCAGAUCUCUGGGCCGUAAACUGACGCUGAGGAGCGAAAGCAUGGGGAGCGAACAGG
rnacentral:rRNA from 1 species